rnacentral:rRNA from 1 species
GACGAACGCUGGCGGCGUGCUUAACACAUGCAAGUCGAACGGUGAAGGGGCCUGCUUUUGUGGGCCCUGGAUGAGUGGCGAACGGGUGAGUAACACGUGAGUAACCUGCCCCCUUCUUCUGGAUAACCGCAUGAAAGUGUGGCUAAUACGGGAUAUUCUGGGUCUGUCGCAUGAUGGGUCUGGGAAAGAUUGCGCCUUUGGGUGUUUUUGGUGGGGGAUGGGCUCGCGGCCUAUCAGCUUGUUGGUGGGGUGAUGGCCUACCAAGGCGGUGACGGGUAGCCGGCCUGAGAAGGUGGACGGUCACACUGGGACUGAGACACGGCCCAGACUCCUACGGGAGGCAGCAGUGGGGAAUAUUGCACAAUGGGCGCAAGCCUGAUGCAGCGACGCCGCGUGAGGGAUGGAGGCCUUCGGGUUGUAAACCUCUUUCGCCAGUGAAGCAGGCCUGCUCCGUGUGGGUGGGUUGACGGUAGCUGGAUAAGAAGCGCCGGCUAACUACGUG